rnacentral:rRNA from 1 species
AACGCUAGCUACAGGCUUAACACAUGCAAGUCGAGGGGCAUCAGUUUGGUUUGCUUGCAAACCAAAGCUGGCGACCGGCGCACGGGUGAGUAACACGUAUCCAGCCUGCCUCAUACUCGGGGAUAGCCUUUCGAAAGAAAGAUUAAUAUCCGAUAGCAUAUAUUUCCCGCAUGGGUUUUAUAUUAAAGAAAUUCGGUAUGAGAUGGGGAUGCGUUCCAUUAGUUUGUUGGCGGGGUAACGGCCCACCAAGGCAACGAUCAGUAGGGGUUCUGAGAGGAAGGUCCCCCACAUUGGAACUGAGACACGGUCCAAACUCCUACGGGAGGCAGCAGUGAGGAAUAUUGGUCAAUGGGCGAGAGCCUGAACCAGCCAAGUAGCGUGCAGGAUGACGGCCCUAUGGGUUGUAAACUGCUUUUAUACAGGAAUAAAGUUAGCCACGUGUGGUUAUUUGUAGGUACUGUAUGAAUAAGGACCGGCUAAUUCCGUGCCAGCAGCCGCGGUAAUACGGAAGGUCCAGGCGUUAUCCGGAUUUAUUGGGUUUAAAGGGAGCGUAGGCCGUCUGUUAAGCGUGUUGUGAAAUGUAGAUGCUCAACAUCUGAAUUGCAGCGCGAACUGGCAGACUUGAGUGUGCGCAACGUAGGCGGAAUUCGUGGUGUAGCGGUGAAAUGCUUAGAUAUCACGAAGAACUCCGAUUG